AAAAAAAUUGCGAACUCCAAAUACUUCUUAUUCAAUUCAAAGGCAAUUCAAAAUUAUUCUUUUCAAUUCAAAGGCAUGAACCUAGUUAUUAAUUAUUAGUUAUUAUAAACAGUUGUUUAUGAUUUACACUCAUCGUUUUGUUCCACUUUUCUUAUUUCUACAUGAUGUGUGCAAGAAGCCAAGAAAACCUGUUGUCUCAUCAAAGUGUUAUGUCAGUGGAGAAUGGACAUUCCUACUGUUCAAACCAAGUGCUGAAUAUUUCCCAUUACUCACAACUUCAACCACAAAACUUCAACUUUAUGUCCUAAAGUUGUGGAUUCAAACUGCAUGUGCCCAAACUGCUCGUUCCUCUCAGUUAUUGGUACUUCUGAUGCAGUGGUCAAGUAGUGAAAUUCUAUGGGUUGCCAUUCUCUGCAGUUUCUGCCCAUCUGCUUCUGCCAGAAAGAGGGAAACAAAAAACAUCUGAUGACGGAUAAAGAGUUCAACCUGCAGACGGGCCGACCAGUUUGCAUGUCCUUCACGCUUGAAAAUCGCGGGGAACAUUACGUGUAAAACUGUCAAUGCGGAGGUGGAGAGGUUGGGUGAGAACUCGACGUUUGCAUCAUUAUCAAGCAGACCCAUUCCCAUCAGCAACGUCAACCUAAAGAAGGAAAGGGCAGUUUGCGUUUCCUUCACUCUCGAAGAUCACGGAGAUCUUAAAGUAAAACGUGUCAUGCGACGGGGGAGAGGUUGGGUGAGGACGACACGUGUUGCAUCAUUAUCAAGCAGGUUCAAUAGCCACAAGGCUUUAUAGUUGAAUCAGGGUGAGGAAAAGUCAUAUAAAAGGAGAGAGGAAAGGCGUUUGAAAUCAGUUGAGUGAGCAUCUCCGAGAGGGCAACAACUGCUGUGCAGUAUUUGUCACCAACUGAAUUCUUCAUUGUGUAAUUAGUUCGCAUUCAUGAUUUUUAUAUUUUCUUUGUAUCAAAGGAGAGAAAAGGCGAAAUAAUUAGUCGAGUGAUUACCUGCGACACGAUAACAACUGCAUCCUUCGUCGCAUUACCAGUUACCAAUCAUGGUAAACUAUGGUGUCAUGCUGCACUGCUGCUGUUGGUUGUUGUAUCGUUUAUGGCUGGUGACGACCACUGGUGUACCGAUGUCUCCUGGGUAUGGUGAAUAUUAAUGCACAACACUGCCGCCUUAUUACUUAACAUCAACCAACGAUGCUCCAGCUUACUACACCAGGACUCCAAAGUACUACACCACUAAGGCUCCAGAGUAUUAAAAGUUGUAUCAAAGGAGAAAAGAGGCGCAAUAAUCAAUCGAUUUAUCCCCGACACGAUAGCAACUGCCGUGCACUAUUUGUUACCAACUGCAUUCAUCAUCGUACAUAGGGACCCAUCCCCAGCAACGUCAACCUGCAAAAGGAAAGGGCAGUCCGCCAUUCCUUCAUGCUCGAAGGUCACGGAGAUCAUUACGUGAAACGUGUUAUGCAGUGGUGUAGAGACCCAUCCCCAGCAACGUCAACCUAAAGAAGAAAAGGCCAGUUUGCA